CAAGUUUGACAUUCAGCAGAGCUGGGACUCAAAGCCAGGCCCUUCCACCCACUUCCAUAUCAGGCGGCCUUGGUUUUCUCACCUGAGAAAGUGGAGGUGUUAACACUACCUGCCUCAUGGGUGUAUUUCAGAGUCUGAGCUGAUGCAAAGCUCUGAUUCCGAGGCCAGCUCCUCGUGUGCCCUCUUCCACCCUGCAGUCUCCUCUCCUAGGCUCCUCUUCCCCCUGGUCUUAUCUGCGCUUGCUGGGCUCAAAGUGCAUGAGCGUGUCACCUGGGUCCUGAGCCUUCCUGCAUGUCUACAUCCGGGAAACUGCAUUCCCAGGGUAGAAGACAGUCCAAGUGGCUGA
rnacentral:lncRNA from 1 species